rnacentral:tRNA from 1 species
AGAACAUAGCUUAAAUAAAGCACUUAGCUUACACCUAACCUAUGUCUGUUAAACCCAGACUAUUCUUAG